AAGAGUAUAGUUUAAUGGUAAAAUAGGAAGCUUCAAACUUCAAAUUUCCAGUUCAAGUCUGGAUGCUCUUG
rnacentral:tRNA from 1 species